rnacentral:tRNA from 1 species
GGAGGGGUGACAGAGUGGCCGAUUGUGCUCGCUUGGAAAGCGAGUGUACCGCAAGGUACCGGGGGUUCGAAUCCCCCUCCCUCCGCCA